rnacentral:sRNA from 1 species
ACACACCGGGAAUGCAACUGAGAGAUGCAAGUCAGCAAGUGCCAGCCGCGAACAUGAGUGUCUGGCCCUGGGUGGAUGCUCCUCGCUGUCUUGGUGCUGAUUCUCUGCCUGGGCCCGAGCUGACAAUUUACUGGUUCAUCAAUGAAACAAUAUUAAAUUAUGAAGAUGUAAGGAAAAAAUCCUACGCUAACACUGUCGCAGUUUGAAAGCUUUAAAAAGUUGAAGUCUAUUGGAAACCUUCUUAUAAGAAACCUUCCUAGUCAGAUAAUUCAACUUUCUUCUUUUCUUCAUUCAUGAAAAUGCAGAUCCACUGAGAAAGGGAAUAAG